UACGUAGGGCGCAAGCGUUAUCCGGAAUUAUUGGGCGUAAAGAGCUCGUAGGCGGUUUGUCGUCGUCUGCCGUGAAAGUCCGGGGACUCCGAACUCCGGAGUACUGGCGGUGGGUACGGGCAGACUAAGAGUGAUGUAGGGGAGACUGGAAUUCCUGGUGUAGCGGGUGAAAUGCGCAGAUAUCAGGAGGAACACCGAUGGCGAAGGCAGGUCGUCUCGGGCGAUUAACUGACGCUGAGGAGCGAAAGCAUGGGGAGCGAACAGG
rnacentral:rRNA from 1 species